rnacentral:tRNA from 1 species
GGGCCCGUGGCAUAGUCUGGUGGCGCGCUCGACUGAUAAUCGAGUGGUCCCGUGUUCAAAGUCACGGCGGGCCCA